UGGGGAAUAUUGCACAAUGGGGGAAACCCUGAUGCAGCAACGCCGCGUGAGUGAUGAAGGCCUUCGGGUUGUAAAGCUCUGUCUUUGGGGACGAUAAUGACGGUACCCAAGGAGGAAGCCACGGCUAACUACGUGCCAGCAGCCGCGGUAAUACGUAGGUGGCAAGCGUUGUCCGGAUUUACUGGGCGUAAAGGGAGCGUAGGUGGAUAUUUAAGUGGGAUGUGAAAUACCUGAGCUUAACUUGGGUGCUGCAUUCCAAACUGGAUAUCUAGAGUGCAGGAGAGGAAAGUGGAAUUCCUAGUGUAGCGGUGAAAUGCGUAGAGAUUAGGAAGAACACCAGUGGCGAAGGCGACUUUCUGGACUGUAACUGACACUGAGGCUCGAAAGCGUGGGGAGCAAACA
rnacentral:rRNA from 1 species